GUCCUAUUGAUUUUUAUUUUAGGUCUAAUCUGCCCAAUGAAGGUUUGAAUGGCCGCAGUAUUUUGACUGUGCAAAGGUAGCAUAAUCAUUAGUUUUUUAAUUGAAAGCUAGAAUGAAUGAUUGAAUGAAAAAUUAACUGUUUCAAAUUAAAUAAUUGAAUUUUAUUUUUAAGUAAAAAAGCUUAAAUAAUUUUAAAAGACGAGAAGACCCUAUAGAGUUUAAUAAAAAUAUAAUAAUUAAUUUUUUAGUAUUAAUAUAUUAAUUUAUGUAUUUUAUUUAAUUGGGGUGAUUAAAAAAUUUAAUAAACUUUUUUUAAAAAAAAACAUUAAUUUUUGAGUUAUUGAUCCAAUAUUAUUGAUUAAAAGAAUAAAUUACCUUAGGGAUAACAGCGUAAUUUUUCUUUAGAGUUCAUAUUAAAAGAAAAGAUUGCGACCUCGAUGUUGGAUUAAAAUUAAUUAUUGGUGUAGAAGCUAAUAUAUUAAGUCUGUUCGACUUUUAAAAUUUUACA
rnacentral:rRNA from 1 species